rnacentral:rRNA from 1 species
GCAUAACGCGAAGAACCUUACCAAGGCUUGACAUACACCAGAACACCCGGGAAACAGGGGACUCUUUGGACACUGGUGAACAGGUGGUGCAUGGUUGUCGUCAGCUCGUGUCGUGAGAUGUUGGGUUAAGUCCCGCAACGAGCGCAACCCUCGUUCUAUGUUGCCAGCACGUUAUGGUGGGAACUCAUGGGAUACUGCCGGGGUCAACUCGGAGGAAGGUGGGGAUGACGUCAAAUCAUCAUGCCCCUUAUGUCUUGGGCUUCACGCAUGCUACAAUGGCCGGUACAAAGGGCUGCAAUACCGUGAGGUGGAGCGAAUCCCAAAAAGCCGGUCCCAGUUCGGAUUGAGGUCUGCAACUCGACCUCAUGAAGUUGGAAUUGCUAGUAAUGGCGCGUCAGCAAUAGCGCCGUGAAUACGUUCACGGGUCUUGUACACACCG